CCCCUUCCACGAGAUCUUCCACCGCGACUUCGGCCCCGACGGCGGCAUGGGCCUGGUCCACAUGCUCUUUCGAUGCAACAUCCUCACCUUCGUGGGCGGCGGCUCCGAACAAGGUGAUGGUCUGGGAUGACCACCAGUCCCGGUGCAUUGACGAGCUCUCCUUCCGGUCGGAGGUGAAGGGCGUCCGUCUCUGGCGUGACCGCAUCGCGGUGGUCCUGGCCCACAAGAUUGAGACUAUUGCUAACCCUAAGGGCCUCUGCAACCUCUCUCACGUUUCCGCCAUGGUGUUGGUGUGCCCUGGCCUGUAGAAGGGCCAGGUUAGGGUUGAGCAUUACGCCUCCAAGAGGACCCUUCGCCCUCACUCACGAUGGACACUUGCUUGCCACCGCCAGCUCCAAGGGCACCCUCGUUAGGCUCUUCAACACCCUCGAUGGUUCCUUGCUCCAAGAGGUUCCGUUUAAAAAAGAAAAUGGUCAAAUGGUUACAGUCCCACUUUUCCACUGGUAGCUUUGUGUUGGGAAUCUUGUGAUGAUGGUAGCUUUGGUGCCCAGCCCAUGGCUGUUUCAAGGGAGUUUCUAUUUCUGAUUUAAUAGAGACAGAUGGUGUUCUCAUACUUUUUACUUGAUUUUGGAGAAUGUCUUAUUCCCUAGUUGUUCUUCACUUAUUUUCUCUCGAAUGUGUAUAUGACUUGUUUUUUAAUGAUAAUAAUAAGGAGACUUAAAUUUGUUAUUUCUUAAUAAAUUUGCUUGAACUUUACAUUUACAUAUUCCAGUUUUAUAGUUCCUUAAUACAUCUGGCUUAGUGUAUUUAACUGUGCGCUACUUAACAAAGCAAAAGCUAUGUGCAUGCAAGGGGUUUUUCUAUUCAUCAUGUGUUUAAACAUAUCACGGUAACAGUCUUUGUUGCUUAUUAUUUUCAUUUGAUUCUUUUAGUUACUCUUUAAAGUCUUUCUUAUUAUAGAUCCUUUUUGUUUUACAUUGCAGGAGUAUGCAGCGAUAGCUUUGCAGUAUUUUCUUGGGAACCAAACUGAAACGUGUCUGUAUUCUGUUUUGCACUGGAUUUGCAGCUACGAGACUCUAUUUUCAAAAUCAUGCAGCAAAUGUUCACGGCUACUUGCCAGGGUUUUAAUUCGUAUGGUCAGGGUUUUAAUGGGUGAUACCAUGUGUUUUCAACCUUUUCAAGAUCCUGGUGACUGCAAAAAUCUUUGUUACAUAAUUCAGGCUCAUAUGGAAAUGCUGGGAAAUGGCCAUGCCUUUGUUGUUGCACGGCCUCCUAAGCGGUAUUACUGGGACACCUCCUUCUUCUGCCUCAACCCAUAGUCCUGGUCAUGGUAAGGAAAGACUUGAUGAUGAAAGACUUUAUGAAGAUCAACCUUAUGAUGAUGAAGAGACUGAAUGAUGUUAUUUACAUGGAUGGAUGACUAGCUAUGCAUAAUAUUUCUAGAUGACACUUUAUUUUGAAAUUUAGAAAUUUUAUGUAAACUUUGACAUCUUUGGAUGAUUUUAUUUGGAGUUUUAUGCUUUUGAAUUGUCA